rnacentral:rRNA from 1 species
AGAGUUUGAUCAUGGCUCAGGAUGAACGCUAGCUACAGGCUUAACACAUGCAAGUCGAGGGGAAACGACAUCGAAAGCUUGCUUUUGAUGGGCGUCGACCGGCGCACGGGUGAGUAACGCGUAUCCAACCUGCCCACCACUUGGGGAUAACCUUGGCGAAAGUAAGACUAAUACCCAAUGACGUCUCUAGAAGACAUCUGAAGGAGAUUAAAGAUUUAUCGGUGAUGGAUGGGGAUGCGUCUGAUUAGCUUGUUGGCGGGAUAACGGCCACCAAGGCGACGAUCAGUAGGGGUUCUGAGAGGAAGGUCCCCCACGAUUGGAACUGAGACACGGUCCAAACUCCUACGGGAGCA